rnacentral:rRNA from 1 species
CCCUACGGGGUGCAGCAGGCGAGAAUCCCUAUGGGGUGCAGCAGGCGCGAAAACUUUACAAUGCUGGAAACAGCGAUAAGGGAACCUCGAGUGCCAGGUUACAAAUCUGGCUGUCGUGAUGCCUAAAAAGCAUUGCAUAGCAAGGGCCGGGCAAGACCGGUGCCAGCCGCCGCGGUAACACCGGCGGCUCGAGUGGUAACCGUUAUUAUUGGGUCUAAAGGGUCUGUAGCCGGCCGGAUAAGUCUCUUGAGAAAUCUGGCAGCUUAACUGUCAGGCUUUCAGGAGAUACUGUCUGGCUCGAGGCCGGGAGAGGUGAGAGGUACUUCAGGGGUAGGGGUGAAAUCUUGUAAUCCUUGAAGGACCACCAGUGGCGAAGGCGUCUCACCAGAACGGACCUGACGGCAAGGGACGAAAGCUAGGGGCACGAACCGG